rnacentral:misc_RNA from 1 species
AACGCAUAUUGCACCAAGUGCGCAAGUGCUUGGUAUGCCUGCUUGAGAAUCAUCUAAGCAUGUGAGUGUGUGUUUCCUCACACGAGGCACACAAGGUGCGCUCUCAGAGGGAUGAGAGUGUGAAAUGCAGUUGUUGAUGUGUCAAGGCAUGUCCUCAUCUCGUGCAACCCUUCAGGCAUGAUCUCAAAUCAGGCAAGACUACCCGCUGAACUUAA